GGAGGCCCAGGGAAAAUACGCAGUCAGAGAGUGUCUGAGCUGGAUGAGGUCACAGAAGCUGCCUUGAACAAGUCUCUCAUUUUUCUCCCGAGGACACUGGGCUGCCUGAGCUGGGAGGUCUGUGUUGCCCAUCAGAGGGUAGGAUUUGGGGAUUCUCUGACAACUGUUCAUGAAAUGGGGCAUGCUGACUUACCCCAAAUCUGGUUAUGGUCACGAUUUGCGGGGAACGGCCACCAGCUAAUAGGAAACAGAUCUUUCCGAGGCGCACUGGGCUUCUGGGCGGCUUCCCAGCCUCCUUGGCAGUGGACUCCUCUUCCGAGCCUACAGGAACCCGGAAAAUGUGGACGCUCUGGCUAUCUGAUGUAAGAGUUGGACAGGAGGCAUGGCAUCUGUCUACAUACUGGAGUUCAGGAAGUCGCAUUGACCGGAAGGUCUGAUCUGGCCUCCAGCAGCCGCGCAGGCUCAGACCUCCUGGGAUGUUCUCAUUGUUCGGUUUCAGGACUUUUUGUUCAGUCGUAUGUGGACACCUGGAGCACUUUUUUUUUUUUUUGCUCUAAUAAUUAUUACUAGGUUUUAUGGAACACCCUUGGUUAAUAUCUCAAAGGAUUAUUAAAAGGAUUACAUGAAAUAAUCCACCUAAAGCAUGGAGCCAGUGCCUGGGCCAGUGGAUGCUUCACCUACGGCAGCUGCUAUAGUGACUUCCCCACAGUGCUGAACGUUUGCACCUGCUAAUGCGGGGAUCGAUCCCCAGCUCUGGCUGGCAGGGCCACUCAAGAACUCGGCCAUCCUGGUUUCCCAGGCCACAGAUCAUCUCCCCAUCUAAGGUCAUUCUCCCACAGUCCUCUUCUGUUGGGAGCUGGGUGACAAAGCCUUCUCCCUUGCCCUUCAUCCUCUCCAUUGCUGUAGGGAUCAGAAAAGAUGCAAAGCUGUCAGUGGAGGCAAUCUCCUGCCUUCACAUAGGCACAGGGCCCUUCUCAUCCCCAUGAAACAGCUCAGGCCAUGGGGCCUGUCACUUUCCUGCUUGUCCUCAGAUCCAUCCCUCACCCUUCCCUGCUGUGCUGUGUUGCUGGGCCCAGACCUCUGUGGACUGCAUUUCCCAGGCUCCCCUGCACCCUGGCUUUCUGGUAAGUUCGGUCAACUGGAGGCACUGGCAGGAGACUGAGCUUGGUAGGAAGAGAGAAGGGGAUAAUUCUCUAGCCCUUUCUGCUUCAGGUGAUGCCUCCAGCAAUGGCCAAGUCUCCUCUAGGAACUUCAGUUCCUGAUAACACCCUCUCUUCCUUUGUCCCUCCAGCCCUGGGACAGUAGCAGUUUCUUGCAGUUUCUGCUUUCUGGGUUGCUGUACCCUCCCCUGUCUAGGUUUUCAACAUUUCCAUCACCUUUGCAACUACAGGUGACCCUUGAACAACGUGGGUUUGUACUGCACAGGCUCACUUUUAUAUGGAUUUUUUUCAAUAAACCUUUUUUUUGAGAUUUGUGACAAUUUGAAAAAGCGUUGAAGCAUGGUCUAGAAAUAUCAAGAAAAUCCAGAAAAACGUUAGGUGUGUCAUGAAUACAUAAAAUAUAUGCAGAUAAGAGUCUAUUUUAUCAUUUACUACCACAAAAUAUACACAAGUAUAUUCUAAAAAGUUAAAGUUAAUCAAAACUUUAACAUACGAACACAGACUGCACAUGGUGCCUUUCAGUCAAGAGAAAUGGAAAUGAAUGGAAGGAUACAGUAUUAAAUAACUACGGCACUACUGCGAUAGGUUCAUAGCUGCCUCUUGUUGCUAUUGUGGCAAGCUCCGGCUGCAGACAUCCACUUAAACACCAUAUGAUGCUGAUCAUCACAUCAGCAGACGAAUAGAGCAGUUCGUCUCUAUUGAUAAACUACAUAUUGCAGUGAAAAGUUAUCUCUCCUGGUUCUUGUGUAUUUUUCUUUGUGUUCAAUGCAAUACCAUAAACCCUGAGUAGCAUCAUGGGCCCAUAUGAAGUGCCACUAGUGAUGCUGGAGGUUCUCUCUCUUUCAUGACAUUACAAGAAAGUUGAAUUGCUGGAUGUUGACCGUAGAUUGGGGUCUGCAGCUGAGGUUGUCUGCUAUUUCAAAGACAAAUGAACCAGCGUAAGAACCAUUGCAAAAAACAGAAGGAAAUUUGUGAAGCCUUGCUGCCGGCAGGCACGGAAACUUUGCACUUUUUUGCAAAAUUGCUUUCAUAUUGGAAAUGCAGCUUUUAUGUGGGUGCAGGAUUGCUAUAAGAAAGCCAUACCUGUAGACUUUAAUAGGAUUCACAAAAAAGCGAAGUCAUUUUAGGACAACUUAAAGCAAAAGGCUGUCGGAGGAUCUAAAGCUGGGGCAUUUAAUGAUAGCAAAGGAUGGUUUGAUAAUUUUGGAAAGAGGUUUAGCUUAAAACAAUGUCAAGAUAACAGGAGAAGCAGCUCCCGUGGAUCAAGAGGCAGCAGAUGAGUUCCCAAAUGCCAUUAAGAAAUGAUCAUGAAAAUCACUGAGGAGAAAGGAUGUCUACCUGAACAGUUUUUUAAAUGCAGAUGAAGGUACCGUAUUCUGGAAAAAACGGGCAAAGAACAUCUAUUAGUAAGGAAGAGAAGUGAGCCCUGGGAUUUCAGGCAGGAAGGGAUGGGCUAACUCUACUACUUUGUGCAAAUGCAGUCAGGUUUAUGAUUAGGACUGCCCUUAUGUAUUAAGCUGCUGAACUCCGGUCCUUGAAGAGAAAGGGUAAACAGCAGUUGCCCGUCUUUUGGUUGCACAAGAAGGGCUGUAUAAGGAGAACUCUUUUUCUGUGUUGUUUCCUUCAAUGCUUUGUUCCUGAAGUCAGUAAGUACCUUGUGAAGUAGGGACUGCCUUUUAAAGUUCUCUUGACCGUGGACAAUGCCCCUCGCCACCCAGGACCCCAUGAGUUCCACACUGAAGGUGUCAAAGUGGUCUCUUUUCCCUAAAUAUAAUGUCUUCAAUUCAGCCUCUAGAUCAGAGUCAUCAGGACCUUUAAGGUUCAAUAUACACAGUAUUCUACGGAAGGGAUUGUCAGUGCCGUGAGACAGAACCCCAGCAGAGAAAAUAUAAUGAAAGUCUGGUAGAAUUACACCACUGAAGAUGCCGUUGUCAUUUUAGAAAAAGCUGUGAAAACCAUCAAGCCCCUAUCAUUAAAUUCCUGCUGGAGAAAACCGUGUCUAGAUGUGCACGACUUUGCAGGAUUUAUGAAUCAAGAAAAGAGAUUGUGACUAUGAUAAAAAGGUGGGGGUGUGAAGGGUUUCAAGAGACGGAUUUUGGAGCAAUUCAAGAGCUAACAGACAUCACAUGAGUGAAAUUAACAGAAGACAACUUGAUGGAGAUAAAUGCUUCUGAAUCAGAGGCAGACAAUGAGAAAGAAGACAUGGUAGUGGAGCAUCAGAACUUAUUAACAUUAGUGUCACCGAAGUUGGUAUACAAGCCCCCACUGCUAAAUUUAACUAGCUUAGGAAAAAAAAGAAGAAAACAUAGAAGACACAGUGUGAGAAAACAAAUGGACAUUAGGCAAUCUGGCAGAGGGUUCCAAUGAGUUAAGACUGUUGACUGGGCACAGGGACUCAUGCCUGUAAUCCCGGCGCUUCGGGAGGCUGAGGCAGGUGGAUUACCUGAGGUUAGGAGUUCGAAACCAGCCUGAUCAAUAUGGUGAAACCCCAUCUCUGCUAAUAAUACAAAAAUUAGCUGGGCGUGGUGACGUGUGCCAGUAGUCUACUUGGGAGACUGAGGCAGGAGAAUUCCUUGAACCUGGGAGGUGGAGGUUGCAGUGAGCUGAGAUCGAAUCACUUCGUGCUAGCCUGGGCGACAGAGCAGGACUCCAUCUCAAAAGCACAAAAGACUGUUUCUGACACGCACCCUUCUAUGGUUUGGGCACUGAAACUAAAGCCAGUGGCGGAAGAAGGAUUGAUACUGUACGGAAACGUUUUCAGAGAAAUGAGAAAGGAAAAGAGUCAGAUAGAAAUGAUGAUGUAUUUCCAUAAAAUCACACCAAGUGUGCCUGCCUCUCCCACCAGCCCCUCCCGCUUCUCCUCCUCUUCUGCCUCUGCCACCCAGAGACAGCUGGACCAACCCUCCCCUUCCUCUUCCUCCUCAGCCCACUCAGCAUGGAGACAACCAGGAUGAAGACCUUUAGGAUGAUCCACUCCCACUUACGGAGUAAUAAAUUUAUUUUCUCCUUCAUAUGAUUUUCUUAGUAACAUUUUUUUUCUAGCUCACUAUAUUGUAAGAAUACAGUAUUAAUAUUUACAAUGUACAAAAUACGCAUUAAUCACCUGUUUACGUUAUCAGCAAGGCUUCCAGUCAACAGUAGGCUAUUGGUAAACUUCCUGGGGAGUCAAAAGUUAUAUGUGGAUUUUCAACUGUGCCAGGAGUUGAUGUCCCUAACCUCCUCAUUGUUCAA